rnacentral:lncRNA from 1 species
CAUUAUGAAACCUGUUUUUUUUUUUAAUGGCAUGCAUAUUUUCAAGAUAUUUCUUGCUGUUCUUCUGAUAUUAUUUGAAUAACCUUGGAAGAUACUGGGGGAAAAGGCUAUUUUGUUCCACUGCCUUUUCUUACACACACGAAGUAUGAACUGUGAUACUGAAGCAGUGUGAGCUUUUUAGGUUAUAUAGAGGAGAGGAGAAGAGAGUCCAGACUUCCUCUGUAAACAGAGGCUUUGGAAAGUACAAGCAAAAGCAAGGUCAUAUCCCAAAUCAGCUCAUUUUCUGCCUUCCUAGCAAGACAGCAGGAGCCUAAUCCUGCAAGGGGGAGCCUCACUGGUGUCAAGGGGAGGUCUGUAUAAGGCAUCACUUAGGCAAUUCAGUCCGUCUCAUCAGUGAGACAACAAACUAUGUUUGUUCUCUUUAAGAAGCAAUUAAUUGUGUCUGCAUCUUGAACAGAGAUGUUGACCACUGCCCUGGAUGUUCUGGGUAAACCGAAAAGGUGCUGUAGCUCACAGCCACAAAAAGCUAUGCAGGUUCUUCCCCCCCCCUCACUAGUUUUUCUUCUAAUAUUUGCCAUUUGAACUGUUUUUAUAUUUGAGGUAUAAACUCCAACUUAGAAUUUUUCUCUGUUCAUUACCUUAGAAGUGAUGGGUGAUGUUUGUGCAGAUAUGCUGCCUGCCUGCUAGUUCCUCUGUAAGAAACAUGAUCUGAGUAGUCUGGAGCACCAGCUAAAGAUCCUUGGGAGGAGUGUCCAGACGCAACGGGAUGUGUUCUUCACUCUUCCUCAUCUGUCAUGCCGAGGAAGAAAUGAAGCAGAAUGACCAGGACAGAUGGGAUAUGGACUCAAAUACACAUUGUGCGUGAUGGAUGAGACAGUAUGUUAGUUCUCAUACACCAAGGGAGAGUUGUGCUUCUGUUUCCAGAACAAGUGGAAAGCAGAGAGCAGAUGAGUUAAUAUCCCUGCAUUGCUCUGCCAGACCAGUCUGCACCAAGCCAUAUGAAUGGACUGAUAUUUCAGAGGUACCAGCUUUCAGAGGGCUCCACACCAAGACAGAAGGAAUGAAGAUUCAGAAGAGGGAAAGGCCUGGAGGGGAGAGGAAAUCAGCAAAAAGGAAGGGAAGAUGUUGAAGGUUCGGCAAGGAUUAUGGACAGGUAACUGUCUUUCCCUCCCAAAGUUUUGUAACGAGAAAGGUACUGUUGCUUAAAGAAAACAAAGACAAAACCAAAUUACUCGCUUUGUUUUUAAGGUUGGUCAUACACUGAUUUGUGGCAGAAGCACAGAAAGGAAGUGUUUAGCUCUAGAAAGCCAUUCCAAAGAGGGAAUAAAGAGCACUAGCCGUGUCA